rnacentral:rRNA from 1 species
CCUACGGGUGGCAGCAGUGAGGAAUAUUGGUCAAUGGACGCAAGUCUGAACCAGCCAUGCCGCGUGCAGGAAGACGGCUCUAUGAGUUGUAAACUGCUUUUGUACGAGGGUAAACGCAGAUACGCGUAUCUUUUUGAAAGUAUCGUAUGAAUAAGGAUCGGCUAACUCCGUGCCAGCAGCCGCGGUAAUACGGAGGAUUCAAGCGUUAUCCGGAUUUAUUGGGUUUAAAGGGUGCGUAGGCGGUCGGGUAAGCUAGAUGUGAAAUGCCGAGGCUCAACGUCGGAAUUGCCUCUGAAACUGGUCGGCUAGAGAGUAGUUGAGGUAGGCGGAAUGUGUGGUGUAGCGGUGAAAUGCUUAGAGAUCAUAAAGAACACCGAUUGCGAAGGCAGCUUACCGAGCUACUUCUGACGUUGAGGCACGAAAGCGUGGGGAGCAAACAGGAUUAGAUACCCUGGUAGUC